AGACUCUGCCUUCUAUCUCAAGUCUAGAAGGUAGAGAAUGCCUUGAUCCUCUUCAGGGGUAGUGGGGUACAUUUUUUAUCUUUCUUCUUUGCUACAGCAGGCCAUUUGCCUUUAUUCUGUGGGGAACAAGGUUAUGGGAAAAACUUCCUGUCCUUCUGACAGGAAAAGCCUCUCCCCAGGCUUUUACUUCUAAGAGAAGCAAUCUUUUUUCACAAUCUUUCUCACUGGAUCCAAAAAGGUCUGCAGAGAAGAUCCCAGAGAGUAGGAACCUCAGUGUCUGCAGCUUCUUCCUACGCUAGCUCAAACACGACAUUGAGCGAACUCCUCAAACAUUUGGCUGAAAUCUUGUUCACUAUUGGUUUCUCUCCCUCUCUUGCUCUUCCACAGGCAGCAAGUGCUCUCCUUCUGUUUUUCAUGCAUGUGGGAGUCUCCAGCAUUUACAUUAGAUUGAAACUUGAGUGUAUUAACAUCAUACAAAGCCUGAGGAUGCAUUAGGUCUGGCUUUGCAUUUCACUAAAUAUGACGUUGGGAAAUGCUGUUAAGACCACAAAAGAAGAAACAUGACCUUCACAACAAUAAAACAGUAUCAUACAUGCUGGUCAAAUACACUGAGCACUAGCAAGGGCUGAAAAUAUUGUUUUAAGCUAAGAGAUGUAAUUGCAAGAGUAACAGCCGUGGUGGCAGCAUCUGGAUCCUUGAUUGACAGCAUUAUGGAAAGUUACUGGCCAGAUACUCCUUACUUAAGUUGGCACCAAUCAACUUGCCUGGGGAUCAGUCAAAUGGGGUGAGGUGAGGGGGACUUCAGGAGAUCCUUCCCAGAUGGAUGCCAAAUUCCUUUGAUAGCCCUGUCAUUGUCAAGAAUUUCUUCAAGUUUAUGUGUAUAAGAAUAAAAUCUUGUUCAAGUUUAUGAU
rnacentral:lncRNA from 1 species